CUUCCAGUAGCACCUUAGAGACCAACUAAGUUUGUUAUCGGUAUGAGCUUUUGUGUGCAUGUACACGUCUUCAGAUACACACAGAAGUUCAUACCAAUAACAAACUUAGUCGGUCUCUAAGGUGCUACUGGAAG